CAGGAAAUGGCAUGUAACGAGAUGCAGGGGAAACAUGGCGGAGAACAAAGAGGUCAACAUGCUGCAUUUCAAGGUUCCCACAUCACACCAGUCAAACUCUGUUCAUCAUUCAGCAGGUCAAAUUAACAAAGGACAAAUUAUUCUGCAGCUUCGUCUGCUGUCUCACAUUCAGCAGGUCAAAUUUGGGUCAAAUUACGUGACGUCAUGCUGAAAAUGUGUCUUCAAAUUAAUCACUGAUUAACUCUGAUACACACAGAGGGUGAAGACACUCUGGGAAACUUUAAACGACCCAGAAACUGAUCAGUUCAGUCAUUUAAAUACAGUUUCCACUGACUGUCCUGAGUGUUGUUAAAUCAGACAGGAAGUGUUUGUUAAUCCAAAUUAAAAGUUUGGUCUUAAACUGUUGAGUUCAGGCAGUCUGAGUUAAAUCUUGUUAAUGCUGAUAAGGUGAGUGCCCAGUGGGAGCUCUGUGGUGUCGCAGCAGCUGGUUGAUCCUUUAGAGGCACAAACAGCUGACAGUUAAAUUAAAUCCAUGAUGCGAUGUUAGCGUGUAGCAGGCAGACGAAGGCUCAGCUGAUCAGCUGAUCUUACCUCGACGCAUCGCUGACUUUAGUAAAAAAUAA